rnacentral:rRNA from 1 species
ACUCGAGUGGCGAGCGGGUGAGUAACACGUGGGUGAUCUGCCCUGCACUUCGGGAUAAGCCUGGGAAACUGGGUCUAAUACCGGAUAGGAGCCAUUUUUAGUGUGAUGGUUGGAAAGUUUUUCGGUGUAGGAUGAGCUCGCGGCCUAUCAGCUUGUUGGUGGGGUAAUGGCCUACCAAGGCGGCGACGGGUAGCCGGCCUGAGAGGGUGGACGGCCACAUUGGGACUGAGAUACGGCCCAG